rnacentral:lncRNA from 1 species
GACGGAAGGCUCCGGAAGCCCUAGGGAGGGCAGGAGAGAGGGCGAGCCCGGCGCAGCCCAGGAGGGGCAUUGGGGCAGAGGGAGCGAGGGAUGGACUGAGCAGGCGACCCCGAGUGGCGGGUAGAGGCUGCAGGGCUGCGGCAGGCGAGGAGACCCCGUGGCCAAGGGCUCUGAGUGACCAAGUGAAGGCUCGGUUCUGGGCCCCGAGUCUUGCUUUUCAGGCAACUCUGGUUUUGUGCUGGAGAAUCAGGAGUGACACACAGAACAAAUAACCCAGAAGAACAAAGAACAAGCAAUCCAAAGCCGCGGGGGCCCGGUGCCAAGAAAGGACACAGCCAACCGUCCCCAGGGGAGCUGAGGAUAUGACAGGCCAGCGACUGCCAACUGUUCUCCAACAUCUGUUCUUCUGUCUUCUUGGCCAUAGAACCCCUGGUUUUAGCUGGGCCCGAAACUUCCUGAAACGAAGACUACGUCUCCCAGAAUCCCCUACAGUCAUGCAUAGUCGACUGAGUAAGUUCUUCCGUGGAGUACAAGAAGUUUUUUUUUUUUUCCUCAGAGGCAAGGAAUUAUACUCUUUUUGUCUCUUUUUCCUUUCUGUUGGCUGGAAUAUACCUGUGAGUGCCGGAGCUGGAGCAGCCCCAUUGGAUCCCAAGGUAGAAGGCACGUGUUAAGGAUAAGCAAACAACCAGAAAUCUGGAUGCCUGUUUGUGGAGCUGCCACACCAACCCUGGACCGGAUACCUCCAAGUGUUGUUUACCUCGGGGAAGAUUCAGCUUCCACAGUGCUUGCCACAGUUUCUUUGUUUUUUGCUGUCUCCAUGCAGGUUGGGAAGGAAUCUCUCAAGAGCCCUCUGUGCACACUUGUUCUGCCUUUGAAAUAAAUGCAUGAAUUAGG